GGAGGAAGCCCGGCAGCCAGCUCCCCCUCCUUUCUGCAGUCUCACAGAGUGGAAAGAGGCGGCUAGCGCUUAUUUCCAAAUUCAGACAGGUCUCAACAUCUACAGUCGCCUCAGAUUUUGAUUGGUCUCCCAUGUCAGAGAUGACAAGCUCUUGGACUGGUCAAUACUUGCAGUUGGAUAUCAAAUGUUUUCAUGAAGCCAAGAACGACUGUGUGGUCAGUAGGGUAGCACAGUUUUUCCUACUGCCAUCUGCUCCGAUUGCAUUUCCAAAUAAGAUUAGCAACACAGUGGUCAACACAACAGAAUAAAUAGAUUCACUGCAUAGGCAA